UGGAAAAUGUCUCAUCUCAAAGAAGAACACUGCUCUGUUAGAGUAAGUGACUCCACUUCAGUUCCUUGAACGCCAGCUGCUGCGAGGGUUCGCUGUCACUAAGCCUCUACGUGCAUCCAUCCCAGAGGAGUUAAGUGGGACCACAUCAAUGCCGGGGAACUGGCUGUCUUCCAGAACUGCACUGUGGGUCAUUCUGUCUCGUGCUUUGAACCUUCCUCAUGGUCACAAGAUGACUGCCAGCAGUGGACACCAGGGCCACCUGUUUUCCUGUGUGUCCUAUGGAACCAUGGAAGCCACUAUGGAACCUCCUUUCCCAGAAAUCCUCAGCCAACAUAUCCUUGAAUUGAAUCUACACAGUUCUGACAUACACAUCAUAUGCAUGCAACAUGUCACUGUCCUCCUCCUUCUUCACUUAUCACCUCCACCGUCUCUUUGGUUAAAGUAGAUUAAAGGGAAUGAGGAUAAUGUAACUUAUCAAAGUGUGCCUGGAUGAGACUGCAGUGAAGAAUGUACUCUCAGUGACACAGGCUCCAGCUGCUUGUAAUUAAUCAGUCUCAAUUAAUUAAUCAAUUGAUGCUGAUUGAAGCUGCAUAAAGAGUUUAGUGAAGCUGUGUCCAAGCUCCAGCUUUGCUGUUUACUAAUGAGAUGGGUAGUCCCAGUCAA